AGUGAACGCUGGCGGUAGGCCUAACACAUGCAAGUCGAACGGCAGCACAGUAAGAGCUUGCUCUUACGGGUGGCGAGUGGCGGACGGGUGAGGAAUACAUCGGAAUCUACUUUUUCGUGGGGGAUAACGUAGGGAAACUUACGCUAAUACCGCAUACGACCUACGGGUGAAAGCAGGGGAUCUUCGGACCUUGCGCGAUUGAAUGAGCCGAUGUCGGAUUAGCUAGUUGGCGGGGUAAAGGCCCACCAAGGCGACGAUCCGUAGCUGGUCUGAGAGGAUGAUCAGCCACACUGGAACUGAGACACGGUCCAGACUCCUACGGGAGGCAGCAGUGGGGAAUAUUGGACGAUGGGCGCAAGCCUGAUCCAGCCAUACCGCGUGGGUGAAGAAGGCCUUAGGGUUGUAAAGCCCUUUUGUUGGGAAAGAAAAGCAGCAGGUUAAUACCCCGCUGUUCUGACGGUACCCAAAGAAUAAGCACCGGCUAACUUCGUG
rnacentral:rRNA from 1 species